CCUACGGGAGGCAGCAGUGAGGAAUAUUGGUCAAUGGGCGGGAGCCUGAACCAGCCAAGCCGCGUGAGGGAAGAAGGUACAGCGUAUCGUAAACCUCUUUUGUCAGGGAACAAAGGCGGGGACUAGUCCCCGGAUGAGGGUACCUGAAGAAAAAGCAUCGGCUAACUCCGUGCCAGCAGCCGCGGUAAUACGGAGGAUGCGAGCGUUAUCCGGAUUUAUUGGGUGUAAGGUGGGCGCAGGCGGCCUGUUAAGUCAGCGGGAAAAGCCCGGGGCUCAACCCCGGCGAGCCGUUGAAACUGGCGGGCUGGAGUUGGAGAGAAGUACGCGGAAUGCGCGGUGUAGCGGUGAAAUGCUUAGAUAUCGCGCAGAACCCCGAUUGCGAAGGCAGCGUACCGGCUCCACACUGACGCUGAGGCACGAAAGCGUGGGUAUCGAACAGGAUUAGAUACCCCUGUAGUC
rnacentral:rRNA from 1 species